rnacentral:tRNA from 1 species
AGUAAAGUAAGCCAACAUUAAGCUCCUGGGCCCAUGCCCCAGUAAUGACGGUGAAAAUCCGCCCUUUGCUA